AAUCAUGAUUAUUCCCUAACAAACUUGAUUUGACAGUUUCUAACCCUUCGUUGGGCAAUAAACAUGUGAGGUUGUGAGGCAAUUUGGUCAUUUCAAAUGUAUAAAGAAACCCUAGAGUUGAUCAUCUUUCACUAUAAAUUGUCUUUUCAUGCCCUAGAGUAGAGAAGCCUGCCUCCCGUUUUUCAAAGUAGGGAAUCCAUCAUUCCAAAUCCAAUUCUGGUGGGAUCUGAAGAACUUGAAAUUCAGGCAAGAUUAAUAUGAUUUCUUUAUUUUUUUUUUCAAGUGAGGAUGAGGAGUCAAUCUUCUCAAUUGUGUGAGAGUUUAGUAAAUUUUUCUAAGAUUUUUAGUCACAAUAAAAUUUAAAAAUUUGUUGAAAAUAAUUUUGAUCCACACAUGUGUGAAUCAAAUUGUUUGAACCAUAUUCAAAUUGUUCAACAAAAAUCUUAGUAAAGUUGGGUGAUUUUUUUUUUUAUAUAUAUAUAAACUUAUAGUUUUGUGUUGAUCUCACCAAAUUUUUUCUUAUAGCCUUUUCACCUAAUAUUAGUGGUAGAAAACAAAAGUGAAAAUUAUAGUACCAACGUGGAAAUAUGUGAUAUAAUACUCCUCAUGCUUUCCUCUUUCAAAUGAUCUCCAAACCAUGACGAGCUUGAGAAGGCAAACUUUACAAGGCCAAAGAGUAUGCAUCUAAGGUAAACUAUGUAUGCAUUUCUCCUAAGAAGGAAAAAAAAAACAUGAGUUAUGAAAAGGAAGCAAAAGUUGUAUAGCAAAUGGUGGAAGGAAGCAAAAUCAUCAACAAGAAUUGUACCUCUAAUUUGUCUUCUCUAGCUCGAUGAUUCUUGGGAAGUUGUCUAAACUCCUCAGUCAAUCGCAAGCAUUCACCAACAUUUUCUGGAGAAACAAAGUCUGCAGCGACCUUGGUACAUGACUGCAAGGCAAGUAAAAAUUGGACUGUAAAUACUAAAGACAAGCUCAAGCUCCUGAAAAUUGGAUUGUAAAUACAGAGAAUAAGAUAGGUUGGGACCUUAAGAUUCCUAACUUGGUGCGGACAGCCAGCAGGAAUAAACACAGCCUCUCCAACUUGUUGCUCAAAUGUCCAAGGUUCAAUGCCUAUGAUCAUGAGAAGCAUAUAUUUUUCUUAAACAAACUAAUGGUAUUGGAGAAGAAAAAAGAAAACAAUUGUCAACCAAGGCUACUUACCACAUUCCUCUUUUAGUGUCCUCUUGUGUUCUGAAGUUAGAUAAAAGGAUUGAUCAUGAAUUGGGUGGUCGACCUAAUGAGGACAAGCAAAAGUGAGUAUAUCUUCUUUCCAGCAUUUGAAUUAGCAAAACAAAAGUAGUACAUUUUAAGUUACCCGUUUAACAGGACAGCCAUAGGUAUGCCUGAACUGCUUCGAGUGCUUCCUUAAAAAUUUCUCUAAUUUUGGGACAUCCUCUCUCCUGAAGAUAUCCCAUAGUGCUCCACCGCCAUCACUUUUAGAGGAAUGUUUAUCUUCACUUGGUGUCAUCAUGUCCUCUGUUUCUUCUUCAACAUGAUUCAUGCAAGAUUUUAUCCCCUCUCUAAUAUCCUGCUGCAAGUGUACUCUUUUCAACUGUGAAAUUGACAAGCGUUGAUCUGGUGUUAAAUCUACCUCGGCUGUAUGUGUCAAGAUGUUUACCUACAUCAAUUAAUGAUCAAAAGAACAAGUUACAAUUGCAUCCCAUAUUAUUGAUAAAUAAAUAAAAAGAAGUUACAAUCAAA